UGCAACCGCAGAGGAUUUAUACAACUUUGAUGUGUCUGUUGCUCUAACGGAAAUACAGUUAGACGAAACAGACGCUGAAUUCACCGAAGCUAUACAAGAAAUUGAUGGCGAGAGGGUUUUUCCUUUUAGUCAGUGAGAGAUAGUGUGCAAGUCUAUAAAGUAAAGGGAGAGACAAAACUCGUGCUGCGUUGACUAUUAGAAGACGUGGUUUGAUUAUAUUACACCGAUUCAGGUCAGUUUGGCUACUGUUUCCUCUACUGAUGCUUUGUUCGAUGCUUUGCAUGGCCACUUUACACAACAUUCUGUCCAAGGAACAAUCAAGAUAAACUUUUAGAAUGUUUUUAUAUGGCUUGAUUCCUCGUUUGUGUGAGCAGCUAUAAAAUUGUGAGAACUAUAAAGCAGCAAAUAUAUUCCUGAGCAUAUUUGAUCGGAUUUUUAUAAAACACUACACCAGCAAAAUGUCGGCAUUGUUGGAAAAUGCUGUGAUUUUUCGUGAAGUUCAACCCUCGAACUCUGCACAGAAACUGUACGGAAA